rnacentral:rRNA from 1 species
GAUCCUGGCUCAGGAUGAACGCUAGCGGCAGGCCUAACACAUGCAAGUCGAGGGGCAUCGGGAUUGAAGCUUGCUUCAAUUGCCGGCGACCGGCGCACGGGCGCGUAACGCGUAUGUAACCUACCUAUAACGGGGGCAUAACACUGAGAAAUUGGUACUAAUUCCCCAUAAUAUUCGGAGAGGCAUCUCUCCGGGUUGAAAACUCCGGUGGUUAUAGAUGGACAUGCGUUGUAUUAGCUAGUUGGUG